rnacentral:rRNA from 1 species
GAUGAACGCUAGCGGCAGGCCUAAUACAUGCAAGUCGAACGGUGUCUUCGGACAUAGUGGCGCACGGGUGCGUAACACGUAUGCAACCUACCUUACAUUGGGGGAUAGCCUUUCGAAAGGGAGAUUAAUACCGCAUAAGACAGUAGCUGGGCAUCCAGCAGCUGUUAAAGAUUUAUCGAUGUAAGCUGGGCAUGCGUCCAAUUAGCUAGUUGGUGAGGUAACGGCUCACCAAGGCAAUGAUUGGUAGGUGAACUGAGAGGUCAAUCCCCCACACUGGCACUGAGAUACGGGCCAGACUCCUACGUGAGGCAGCAGUAGGGAAUAUAGGGCAAUGGACGCAUGUCUAACCCAGCCAUGCCGCGUGCAGGAUGAAGGCGUUAUGCGUUGUAAACUGCUUUUAUACAGGAAGAAACGACUCUUGCGAGAGGCAUUGACGGUACUGUAUGAAUAAGCACCGGCUAACUCCGUGCCAGCCGCCGCCGUAACAC